GGCAUUGAUUCGGUGGUGGAAUUCUUGCCUUCCAUGCAGGAGACCUGAGUUCGAUUCCUAGCCAAUGCCC
rnacentral:tRNA from 1 species